rnacentral:rRNA from 1 species
AUUGAACGCUGGCGGAAUGCUUUACACAUGCAAGUCGAACGGCAGCACGGGGGCAACCCUGGUGGCGAGUGGCGAACGGGUGAGUAAUACAUCGGAACGUGCCCAGUCGUGGGGGAUAACGUAGCGAAAGUUACGCUAAUACCGCAUACGAUCUACGGAUGAAAGCGGGGGACCGUAAGGCCUCGCGCGAUUGGAGCGGCCGAUGUCAGAUUAGGUAGUUGGUGAGGUAAAGGCUCACCAAGCCGACGAUCUGUAGCUGGUCUGAGAGGACGACCAGCAACACGGGGACUGAGACACGGCCCAGACUCCUACGGGAGGCAGCAGUGGGGAAUUUUGGACAAUGGACGCAAGUCUGAUCCAGCCAUUCCGCGUGCAGGAUGAAGGCCCUCGGGUUGUAAACUGCUUUUGUACGGAACGAAAAGGUCUCUCUUAAUACGGGGGGCUCAUGACGGUACCGUAAGAAUAAGCACCGGCUAACUACGUGCCAGCCGCCGCCGUAA